UAAAUUAAUAAGGGGUAAAACUUAUAUAAUUUUGUUUUAUAUUUUAGUUUGUUAAGAAUAAGCUUAACAAAAUACAGGAAGUAAUACAACUUAAGAUUAACUACUUAGGCUUGAGAUUAGUCAUUGUAACAAAACUUGUUAUAAAGUAAUUUUUUUUAAAAAAAAAAUUUUUGUAUUUACUAUUCUGGUUGGCGAUAAAGGUAGUAGACGGAACUAGUAAGUUUAAUUUAUUUAUGCUAAAAUGAGUAUUAAAACUAAUAUGUAAGCAAAAAUUAAAAUAUGCUUAUAAAGAUAUAAUUUUUAGAAACUAAGUAAAAAGAAGGAACUCGGCAAAUCUUAGCUUCGCCUGUUUAUCAAAAACAUGGCUCCUUGUUACCUUAAUAUGGGGAGUCGAGCCUGCCCAGUGAAAUUUUUUAACGGCCGCGGUACCCUGACCGUGCAAAGGUAGCAUAAUCAUUUGCCUUAUAAUUAAAGGCUGGCAUGAAUGGUUUGACAGGAGCAUUGCUGUCUCCUUUUUAAUAAGUAGAAUUUGAUUUCUAGGUGAAGAAGCCUAGCUAUAAUUGAAAGACAAGAAGACCCUAUCGAGCUUAAAAAUAAAUUAGAAACAAACUAUAAAAAUUUAAAUUUAUUAUUAAACUAUUUUUUUGGUUGGGGCGACUAAGGAACAAAAAAAGCUUCCUUUUCUUCUUGGACCUAUAAGUAUUGAUCCAGCUUAAGCUGAUUAGAAGAAUUAGUUACCGUAGGGAUAACAGCAUAAUCUCUUUUAAGAGGCCUAAUCGAAAAGGGGGGUUGUGACCUCGAUGUUGGACUAGAAUAUCCUAAAGAUGCAGAAGUCUUUAAAAGUUGG
rnacentral:rRNA from 1 species